GAUGAACGCUGGCGGCGUGCCUAAUACAUGCAAGUCGAGCGAACGGACGAGAAGCUUGCUUCUCUGAUGUUAGCGGCGGACGGGUGAGUAACACGUGGAUAACCUACCUAUAAGACUGGGAUAACUUCGGGAAACCGGAGCUAAUACCGGAUGAUAUUUUGAACCGCAUGGUUCAAAAGUGAAAGACGGUCUUGCUGUCACUUAUAGAUGGAUCCGCGCUGCAUUAGCUAGUUGGUAAGGUAACGGCUUACCAAGGCAACGAUGCAUAGCCGACCUGAGAGAGUGAUCGGCCACACGGGAACUGAGACACGGUCCAGACUCCUACGGGAGGCAGCAGUAGGGAAUCUUCCGCAAUGGGCGAAGGCCUGACGGAGCAACGCCGCGUGAGUGAUGAAGGUCUUCGGAUCGUAAAACUCUGUUAUUAGGGAAGAACAUAUGUGUAAGUAACUGUGCACAUCUUGACGGUACCUAAUCAGAAAGCCACGGCUAACUACGUG
rnacentral:rRNA from 1 species